rnacentral:rRNA from 1 species
CCUACGGGAGCAGCAGUGGGGAAUCUUGGACAAUGGGCGAAAGCCUGAUCCAGCCAUGCCGCGUGUGUGAAGAAGGCCUUCGGGUUGUAAAGCACUUUCAGUGGGGAAGAAAGCCUUGGGGCUAAUACCCUCGAGGAAGGACAUCACCCACAGAAGAAGCACCGGCUAACUCCGUGCCAGCAGCCGCGGUAAUACGGAGGGUGCGAGCGUUAAUCGGAAUUACUGGGCGUAAAGCGCGCGUAGGCGGUCUGAUAAGCCGGUUGUGAAAGCCCCGGGCUCAACCUGGGAACGGCAUCCGGAACUGUCAGGCUAGAGUGCAGGAGAGGAAGGUAGAAUUCCCGGUGUAGCGGUGAAAUGCGUAGAGAUCGGGAGGAAUACCAGUGGCGAAGGCGGCCUUCUGGACUGACACUGACGCUGAGGUGCGAAAGCGUGGGUAGCAAACAGGAUUACAUACCCCAGUAGUC